rnacentral:misc_RNA from 1 species
AUGCUCUUCAAAUGGAAAACACUUGUCAAAUAAACCAACAGAUUUGAUGAGCUUCCAAUUGUUCCCAGCUUCUCAAAUGUCUCAUUCCCUGCAGUUUUUAGCAUACAAUAACAAGUUAGACUCGGCUAUAUGUAAAAUAGUGUCAAGAAAAGGAAAAAUUAUGAGACUAUUCACUAAUACAAGUUUAGUGUAUAUAUAUAAAAAAAACCUAUGACAAAGGGCAUGGCUCUG